rnacentral:precursor_RNA from 1 species
UCUCCUUGCGAGUCUCUGCUGCCUGGCGUCUCGGGCCAAGGCGGGAGGAAGCCGCGUUGGAGGGG